UCAUCGUUUCUUCCACGUUGCUCUCUUCUGUUUAUUUUGAUGUCUGUGUUUCGUGUUCAGGGUUUUCUUUGAUUAGUUUCUUGCUUAGAAUCACACAAAGACCAAAUCCUCAUAAUGAGAAUCCUUAUUUGCAGUUUUGUGUAGUUCUCUAAUUAUCGUGAAGUGUAAUAGAAAGGUAGGGAUAGUGUAUUGCUCACAGAAGCUGCUAAGUUAAAAGUGCUCAGAAUUCUAGAGCUGCUAACAUUAAAAACAAAAAUGGCCUUGUGUUUUACUUGAUUAAAAUUAAGCCUUAAGUUUAGAACAUCUUUAAACUUGGUUUAAAAUGUUCAUUUUAGGGUGUUUGCCAGCUUCCCAGUAAAAAUGAUGAAAAAGAAUAUCCACACAGAAGAAUUGAUAUCAGGUUGAUACCCAAAGAUCAGUAUUACUGUGGUGUUCUCUAUUUCACUGGGAGUGAUAUUUUCAAUAAGAAUAUGAGGGCUCAUGCCCUAGAAAAGGGUUUCACAAUCAAUGAGUACACCAUCCGUCCCUUGGGAGUCACUGGAGUUGCAGGAGAACCCCUGCCAGUGGAUAGUGAAAAAGACAUCUUUGAUUACAUCCAGUGGAAAUACCGGGAACCCAAGGACCGGAGCGAAUGAGGCCUGUAUCCUCCCUGGCAGACACAACCCAAUAGGAGUCUUAAUUUAUUUCUUAACCUUUGCUAUGUAAGGGUCUUUGGUGUUUUUAAAUGAUUGUUUCUUCUUCAUGCUUUUGCUUGCAAUGUAGUCAAUAAAACCUCAUGUACUAUUA
rnacentral:lncRNA from 1 species